UGGGGAAUCUUGCACAAUGGGGGAAACCCUGAUGCAGCGACGCCGCGUGAGCGAUGAAGCCUUUCGGGGUGUAAAGCUCUUACGCCAGGGACGAUAGUGACGGUACCUGGAGAAGCAGCUGCGGCUAACUACGUGCCAGCAGCCGCGGUAAUACGUAGGCAGCAAGCGUUGUUCGGAAUUACUGGGCGUAAAGGGUGCGUAGGCGGUGCUCUAAGUUUGGUGUGAAAUCUCCCGGCUUAACUGGGAGGGUGCGCCGAAAACUGGAGUGCUUGAGUGUGGGAGAGGAAAGCGGAAUUCCUGGUGUAGCGGUGAAAUGCGUAGAGAUCAGGAGGAACACCUGCGGUGUAGACGGCUUUCUGGACCAUAACUGACGCUGAGGCACGAAAGCGUGGGUAGCAAACAGG
rnacentral:rRNA from 1 species